rnacentral:hammerhead_ribozyme from 1 species
GUUCAACCGACGAGUCACAAAUAUGACAAAACGUGCUUCCUGAAU